rnacentral:tRNA from 13 species
GGGAUCAUAGCUCAGCUGGGAGAGCAUCUGCCUUACAAGCAGAGGGUCAUAGGUUCGAGUCCUAUUGGUCCCACUA